rnacentral:rRNA from 1 species
GGGGAAUAUUGCACAAUGGGGGAAACCCUGAUGCAGCGACGCCGCGUGGAGGAAGAAGGUCUUCGGAUUGUAAACUCCUGUUGUUGGGGAAGAUAAUGACGGUACCCAACAAGGAAGUGACGGCUAACUACGUGCCAGCAGCCGCGGUAAAACGUAGGUCACAAGCGUUGUCCGGAAUUACUGGGUGUAAAGGGAGCGCAGGCGGGAAGACAAGUUGGAAGUGAAAUCUAUGGGCUCAACCCAUAAACUGCUUUCAAAACUGUUUUUCUUGAGUAGUGCAGAGGUAGGCGGAAUUCCCGGUGUAGCGGUGGAAUGCGUAGAUAUCGGGAGGAACACCAGUGGCGAAGGCGGCCUACUGGGCACCAACUGACGCUGAGGCUCGAAAGUGUGGGUAGCAAACAGGAUUAGAUACCCUGGUAGUCCACACCGUAAACGAUGAUUACUAGGUGUUGGAGGAUUGACCCCUUCAGUGCCGCAGUUAACACAAUAAGUAAUCCACCUGGGGAGUACGACCGCAAGGUUGAAACUCAAAGGAAUUGACGGGGGCCCGCACAAGCAGUGGAGUAUGUGGUUUAAUUCGACGCAACGCGAAGAACCUUCCCAAGUCUUGACAUCCCUUGACAGGCAUAGAAAUAUGUUUUCUCUUCGGAGCAAGGAGACAGGUGGUGCAUGGUUGUCGUCAGCUCGUGUCGUGAGAUGUUGGGUUAAGUCCCGCAACGAGCGCAACCCUUAUGGUCAGUUACUACGCAAGAGGACUCUGGCCAGACUGCCGUUGACAAAACGGAGGAAGGUGGGGAUGACGUCAAAUCAUCAUGCCCUUUAUGACUUGGGCUACACACGUACUACAAUGGCGUUAAACAAAGAGAAGCAAGACCGCGAGGUGGAGCAAAACUCAGAAACAACGUCCCAGUUCGGACUGCAGGCUGCAACUCGCCUGCACGAAGUCGGAAUUGCUAGUAAUCGUGGAUCAGCAUGCCACGGUGAAUACGUUCCCG